rnacentral:rRNA from 1 species
AACGAACGCUGACGGCAGGCUUAACACAUGCAAGUCGAACGGGCGUAGCGAUACGUCAGUGGCAGACGGGUGAGUAACACGUGGGAACCUUCCUAGGGGUACGGAACAACUCAGGGAAACUUGAGCUAAUACCGUAUGUGUCCGAGAGGAGAAAGAUUUAUCGCCCUUAGACGGGCCCGCGUCGGAUUAGCUAGUUGGUGGGGUAACGGCCUACCAAGGCGACGAUCCGUAGCUGAUCUUAGAGGAUGAUCAGCCACACUGGGACUGAGACACGGCCCAGACUCCUACGGGAGGCAGCAGUGGGGAAUCUUGGACAAUGGGGGAAACCCUGAUCCAGCCAUGCCGCGUGAGUGAAGAAGGUCUUCGGAUUGUAAAGCUCUUUUGCCAGGGACGAUAAUGACGGUACCUGGAGAAUAAGCCCCGGCAAACUUCGUGCCAGCCGCCGCCGUAAUAC